UACGUAGGGCGCAAGCGUUGUCCGGAAUUAUUGGGCGUAAAGAGCUCGUAGGCGGUCUGUUGCGUCCGCUGUGAAAACUCGGGGCUUAACCCCGAGCCUGCAGUGGAUACGGGCAGACUAGAGGUAGGUAGGGGAGAAUGGAAUUCCCGGUGUAGCGGUGAAAUGCGCAGAUAUCGGGAGGAACACCGGUGGCGAAGGCGGAUCUCUGGGCCUGUCCUGACGCUGAGGCGCGAAAGCUAGGGGAGCGAACGAGG
rnacentral:rRNA from 1 species